CUAUAAAUAUUGGAAAAAUCAGUGGGGCAAUGUAAUUUUUUUGGCCCACGGGACAAAUCAUUCAGCUGGGGUUACUCAAAUGGACUCCAAUGGACAUUGGCUAGUAGCGGUCAUCAACCACAUGGACAGAUUAUUUGUGUUGUGUAAUGUAUAUGGAUACUGUCCUAGUCCUCCAAAUAACUAACUUCUACAGGAAAUUGAAGAAAUUCUUAAAAGUCUUCUGAGAAAAUAUCCAUCCAGUCAGAUUACAGUUGGAGAUUUUAAUAUGGUUUAUUCUAAUGAGACUGAUAGAUUGCCUCAUAGGCCUAACAUUGGUGUGAACAAGUUGGUGAAUUUCUGCCAAAGCCUGGACUUAAUUGACAUAUGGAGAGUAAAAACCCCUGGAGAGAUACAAUACACAUGGAGUAAUAGAGAUCGUUCUUUACAAUCAAGAAUUGAUUUGUGGGUGAUAACCUCUAGUCUUGAGUCCAACACUGUAGAGGUAAAAAUACUGCCUGCAGUCCUGACGGAUCAUAAAGUCAUAUGGUUGACUGUAAGAAUGUGCAGCAAUGAUGGUUUGGAGGCCACUCUAAAGAUGAACCCUCUAUCCUGACACCUCUGGAGCAGUGCUGCAGGAUCUGUCGCUCCACCCUACUGCAUCUGUCUGCUUCUCCUCUCCCUGCCCCAGUACAGUCUGUGAUGUCAUGAGGGAAUCUCUUUUCCAUGAUCCUCUGUUCUCCGUGGCCACUUUCCUCCCUGGACCAUCGCCUAGCGACCGUGCUCAGAACCUUGAGCCGUUGCCAGGAGCAACCGUGUAGCCGCCGUGGAGGAGGCGAGGAUGAUGUCACUCAUUAUAAGACCUUGGUUACACCUGUGACACAUGCACGUCAGGUGCGGACUGAAACAAUAAUUCAGGCCGGGAAUUUGACUCCAUCCCAGGCCACCCUGUUCACGCAAACCACCAGACCGCUAAUGUUUUAGGCUAACCCUAUUUGUUGAUGUAACGGGUACCAAACUAGUUAUACAUUUGGACACUAUGUUCAUCUGGGAAGAAAGUUAUCCACAUUACAAAAUACAAACAUUUGGGACUGACCAACAAGUAGCCUAUCUGAACACUGAGUUUUCAAGAUAUGCUAUGGCUAUGGGUGCACCCUCAAAAACUCACUAGAAAUACACCAAUCAUAGCACAUACAAAUGUACAAGGCUAGACACACAAAACAAUUAGCAUACACUUUUUAAAAAGAGAAUAAGAUAUGCAGAGUUAGCUCAAAUGUUCAAAUGAUUAUCUUUAUAUUCAAGCAUCAAGCGUAUCAAAGUAUCAAAAAACUUCACACACACACAUUCAUGGAACUUCAACAUAAGCUACAACAAUGUAAGUAAGUAUAAUACAAAAGUCGAAAAAGCAAUCCCCUACAAAAAAAUGUAGAUUACAAUGUUCCCUCACUGGUGUCCAUAAAGCCAACAGCACACAAUAAACACAUCUAUACACUGAGUCAAUGAAAUUGAACAUUGGCUACAUAACUGCAAGUAUAAUAUGAAAGUCCAAAAAACAUGCCUCUGUACAAAAGCUUUAACUCACAGAAAAUGGUCUUUCACCCUUGUCAGCCUGUUAAGGAAGAGUCAUAGCAUAUCUACAGUGUCGGAAAAAAGUAUUUGAUCGCCUGCUGAUUUUGUACGUUUGCCCA